rnacentral:misc_RNA from 1 species
GAAGGGUGGUAUUGAAAUUGAUUGGGGAACCAUGGACCCUGGGGAGGAACUGGAGGCCUCAAGGAAGGUUGGUGGUGGUAGGGAUCGGCGGCGGCGGAGGAGGAGGGUGGCAGUGGAGGAGGUGGAGGAGCCCUGGGAAAAUGGUGAGUCUGGUGAUAAGAAUCCAUCGGUGUGGAAAAUUGGCGGGUUGUUCUUGGAAAAGGAGGAGGGUUGAGGGUUCAAGCUUGGAGUUGCAACAUCGUUACUACG